rnacentral:rRNA from 1 species
AUCUUCGGCAAUGGGCGAAAGCCUGACCGAGCGACGCCGCGUGCGGGAUGAAGGCCUUCGGGUUGUAAACCGCUGUCGUUGGGGAGGAAGUGCAGGGGGGUUCUCCCCUCUGUUUGACCUAUCCAAGGAGGAAGUACGGGCUAAGUUCGUGCCAGCAGCCGCGGUAAGACGAACCGUACGAACGUUAUUCGGAAUUACUGGGCUUAAAGGGUGCGUAGGCGGCGCGGUAAGUUGGGUGUGAAAGCCCUCAGCUCAACUGAGGAACUGCACUCAAAACUACCGUGCUUGAGGGAGACAGAGGUAAGCGGAACUCAAGGUGGAGCGGUGAAAUGCGUUGAUAUCUUGAGGAACACCGGUGGCGAAGGCGGCUUACUGGGUCUUUUCUGACGCUGAGGCACGAAAGCUAAGGUAGCAAACGGGAUUAGAUACCCCGGUAGUCUUAGCUGUAAACGAUAAGCACUUGUUUGAAGGGUCCUCCAUAGCCUUUCAGACGUAGCGAAAGUGUUAAGUGCUCCGCCUGGGGAGUAUGGUCGCAAGGCUGAAACUCAAAGAAA